UUGAGAUUAACAGGAUGGUUGAAAAAAUACCUUUCUUCUGGAGAUAAAGAAGUGCUUAUUAAGUCUGUUUCACAAGCCAUACCAAGGUAUACGAUGUCGAUCUUUAAAAUUUCUAAGAAAAUAUGCAAAGGAAUUACGGAUGCGAUCUCUUGUUUUUUGUGGGAUGAUGAUGCAUCAUACAAGAGAAUGCACUGGUUUGCAUGGUGGAAGAUGUGCAUACCUAAGAGUAAAGGAUGGAUAGGAUUUCGAGACAUUCAUUGUUUUAACUUGGCACAUUUGGCAAAGGAAGCAUGGCGGCUUUUGAGAACCCUGAUUUCCUUUGUGCAAAGAUUCUCAAAGCAAAGUAUUACCCUGAUGAUGAUCUUUUGA
rnacentral:rRNA from 1 species